UACAGAGGGGGCAAGCGUUGUUCGGAAUUACUGGGCGUAAAGGGCGCGUAGGCGGGCUGGCAAGUCGGUCGUGAAAUCCCUCGGCUCAACUGAGGAUCGUCGAUCGAUACUGCCGUUCUUGAGGAUUGCAGAGGAGACUGGAAUUCCCGGUGUAGCGGUGAAAUGUGUAGAGAUCGGGAGGAACACCGGUGGCGAAGGCGGGUCUCUGGGCAAUUCCUGACGCUGAGGCGCGAAAGCGUGGGGAGCAAACGGG
rnacentral:rRNA from 1 species